rnacentral:lncRNA from 1 species
ACUUGUCAUAACCUGCAAGCACACCAGCACCAGCAACGGCACGGAGGAUGUUUGCACCAGCACCCUUGAAGAGAGACCUGGCACCCUCAUUCUUCAGAAUUUGGGAGAAAGCAUCCAGGGAACUCUUGUACUUGACAGCUUCACCAGAGGUCAUCAUCAUUCUUCUGCGAACAGUGUCAAUUGGAUAGGAUGCAAGCCCAGCACCAUUUGUGAUGAGCCAGCCAAGAGCAAAGCUAGCAAAGAAACUAUCCUGAAAUGAUUAAACAACAGAUGUCAUAAGGGGGAAAUAACAGCAAAGCUCAUGUGAUAAAUUAAUCUCAGUUUCAAAUCCUGAUAGCAAAGCUCAAAAUAGCAAUUAUUAUCAUCUCCUACUUUAUUCCUCAAAAACUAUUCUGCAAUUCAUUAUGGCAAAAUAGGAGUUCCUAAUUCACUAUAUCAGCUGAGACGUGAAAUCAGAAAAUCGCAUGUCUCUCAAGAAAUCCUUACCUGUAAAGUUCCAGUCAAGAGAACUGGCUUCAAAGAAUCGUACAUUCCAAAGUAGAGUCCACGGUACACAAUAAUUCCAACACAAGAGAUGUUGAAACCACGGUAAAGGCCAGCAAUACCAUCAGAAGCCAGUGUCUUUCUGUAAACAUCAACAAGACCAUUGAACUGCCUCUCCCCACCCUUCUUGGCAGCCUUUGCAUCAUUGGCCAGACGCGUACGGGCAUAGUCCAGGGAGUACACAAACAGAAGGGAAGAAGCACCAGCCGCGCCUCCUGAUGCCAAGUUACCAGCAAACCACUUCCAGUAGCCAUCCUUGUCUUUCUUGAAGUUAAACAGCCUCUUGAAGUAAUCCUUGAAUGCAAAGUUCAAGGCCUGGCCCAAAUUUCAAAUAACAGUAAGAUAAAUGCCUUACAUAAACAAGCUGCAAAAACCAGGAAAAAGCAUAAAGCAUGAGUCACCUGAGUGGGGAAAUAACGGAUAACAUUAGCAGUGUUCCCCCUCCACAAGGAACCGAAUCCCUCAUCCUUUAUUGUCCUCCCAAAACAAUCACCAAUGCCCUUGUAUGGUUCAGACAGCCUACCAGUCUUAAUCAUCUCAUCCUGGUUCUGAAUUAGCAGCUGCCGUCUUGGAUACAGCGGCAGAGACUCCACCCAUCAGGAAAUCGAUGGCAAAGCCAGCAAGUCCUUUCUCUGCAGCCAGCAAGUCCUUUCUCUGCUGGGGCAUGAACAAACACAGGAGAUGCUGUCGAUGCAACCAUGGACAAGUCAGAGGAUGCUCUGCAUGCUGGCACUGUUGAAUAAUUCCAAGCAGCAUUGGUGUAAUUUCCAUAUGCACGCCGUUGGGAAAGAGCAGGCCUCUGGAAAGCCCCAUCACAACCUCGCGUGUCUUGAGAAAGACUAGUGCGCAGAAGGAGCUGGCCAGCUACCUUCUGCAUGACAGUUGGGUGUUGAACUUGAUCAACCAUCUUUGCUUCACCUGCAACAAUGACGCACUCAGUUUCCAUGGUAGCCAAUUGAGAAAUAAUUAUUCAACAGUCAUUAAGCAAUUGGGGAUACUAGUGUUGUACGAUUUCUGGCGAAGCAACAAACUGAGAAUUUUUUCUCAGUUGCUGCAGCGGACCUGGGCCACAUAUACUGAGGUAUGAUGAAAAUAACUUCAUAUAAGUUACGCGUGGCACCAUCUACAGUAAUACUCAGAAAAAUCAAAACCCAAAGAAUUGAAUUGCCGCAAUCCCAGUCAAAGCUUGAUAAUGAUAGGUGUAAAGCAGUCCUACAAGCAACACGAACACGAAACGUUCGCCUCCCCACAGACAUCAAGACCCUUUGACAGGGGAUGAGGAUAAAGUAAAACGCGAGCAAUCAGCAUCUUAUCAAAAAACACAAUAUGAACCGAGUAAUACUACAGAACAAAAGCAAGUCAAGAGGAAAACCAUAGUGCGUCAAAGCAAGGAUCACCUUAAAAUUCAUUCAUUUACAGUAAAGCGACCUAGACAGCAAUCAGAUAGGUACCCCACAAGCAAAAGCAAUAAAAUGGGUUACUACAGGUAUAUCGAUCGUUGAUUCGAUGGGGAAACAAUUUGUCGAGAUCCGAAAAGAGAAGCACACUCAGCAAAGCAUUGGUCAAGACACAAUCUAACAAAACGUCUAGAAACAGCCACCGUCUCAUCACAAGAGCAGCACGGGAGCGGAAAAUCUAAAACGAAUCGAAGUGAAACCCGAGUCCGUCACGAGUUCAAUCAAAUCAGAAGAAAACUGUAUAGAACGAAUCUCAGGACCGAUGAAGUGGGAAGCCUAGUAAGCAAGUGCUGAGAUCUAAAAAGCGAUCAGACAAUCUCACUCUCAGAUCUGAAGCAAGAGCCAGGAACAAAUCAAGACCACCGCACCGCUACAGCAUAUCAGACCAGAAUAUGAAAGAAAAUCAAACGGAUCUAACACGGAAAAUGAAAACGGGAGAACGAUCGCGCCGAGACUGCCACCGGAUCUGAGAUGCGGACGAUGCAAAAACACGAUGAAAAGGAAUCGAAAGAAAAGAAAGAUCUACCGGGACGAGUCGAGCCUACGACGCAAGAAAUGGAUCCGAGAGAAGGAGGGAAGCAAGCGGGAGCAGAGGAGAGAUAUAAUGGGGAGCGAUACCUGAGGAAGGAAGGGGAGAGAAGUCGUCGAUUGGAGGCUGCGAAAGGACUUCGGAGCCUCUCUCUCUCUCUCUCUCUCUCUGCGCGUGCGAGGAGCGAGGUGAAGACCGAGGGAAACCUGGAGGAAAGAGGCGAUUUCUGAGGAGGCGUGCCGUCCUUUUAUAUUUCGCUUUCAGACGCCAGAGAGGCACUUUGAAAAGAGCGACCUUUUUCGUGAUCUCGUGCUUUCAGUCCUCCUACUUUAUGAAAAUUCUCAUUUCGGCCCGUCAUUUUCUAUUUGCCGAUAAUUGGAUCCCUCCGUUUCAAUAAAAUCGUAUGACCACAUGGUACGAUGAGAGUUAAUGUAACCAAUUCGAUCGUCCAGUUAAACAAAAAGAUAACUUAUAGCGAAGAAUAAGACGGAUCAACAUGCUGAUAUGAUGAUAUCGAAUCGAAUUGAUAAUAGACAUACAUCUAUUGAUCCGGCAUCCAUCUAAAUAGAUAAUAUUUUGAUCAGUAAUGAUUUUCAAUGAAUGCAAAAAUGGCAGAUGAAUUUUGUCAAACUGAUUAUUGGGCACUUUUGCUACUUCGUAUAUCUUCUUCUUCUUUUUCGCUCUACGAGAUUAAUGGGAGCGCCAAUCAAUCGGCGUGGAAGGGACAGCCUCGCAAGAAAUGCACGUAAGAAGAUGCUGUAGAGGAGGAGCGAGGACACAUAAUUUGUAGGGAACGGCUGGUCAACGGCAUCCUCCCUCCAGUACGAUUCACGCUUUUGCUGGCUUUGAUUGAUGUCCACAUAUCACCUGUAUUUCCCGACGUCCUUUUCAGCAUUCUCAACGACCAUCCUCGUCAAUUCCAGGCACAGUUUGCUAAGGGUACUGUCCAGCCAAAUUAAAACGUGAUAAAAUGCCUGGGAUUUUGAUUGUUGGAAUCCUCCGACACAUUAUUAGGUGCAUCAACUGAUAACCAAUUGCGAAACACUUUUACAUUUUUCCUAUAACUCUUAUUAACAAUGUCACCUCAAUACCGUCCGGUCAACGGCUUUCCUUUCAUUCAAAAUGGCCGGAGAACAAAAUGAUCCAACAAAGAACAAGAUGUUUUUCCAAACUCAAAUUUGAUGUUUGUUCUUCGGUAAAAGCGGAAGCUUCCACGGGCAAAUGAAAGAAAAAAGAAAAAAGGAGCUUUAGCGCCCAUGUUUGACCCGUGACCGAGCUUCCUUCCAUUCACGGACAAGGAUCCGCUUGACAUUAAUAUAUGCAUCUUCAAUUGCUAUUUCGAUCGAAAGGGGGAAAAGUGCAACAGAUUUUUCGUUCCCAAUUUUUCUAAAAAUUGUCCUUAAAUCAUAAAAUAAAAAUGGAACUGCCAGAUUAUGCAUAUACUUGCAUUGCAUCAAAAUUAUGUUUUUAGCCCUAGGGUUUUUAUUUGGGACGAAAAGAUUCUUUAUAUUUGUUCACCCUUGUGCUGACGAUUAUUUUCUUUCGCCAGAUGUCUUUUUCCAUCCAAUUGGGCGUGCCUUUUUGUUUUCCAUCUCUGUUGCUAACUUGAAAUGAGGAUUUCGCGAAGCUGCCCUUUCUUGGUAAUAGAGAUCCUUCCGCCACUGAGAUCCACUGAAUCUCGAAACCACAGAAGCUUCAGCUGUCCUUACCAUCUCCCUCCCCUCUGUUCACCCCCGAGAUCGGAGUGACUUCAACCCAACUUUACGUUCUACCAGAAACAAUACGGUACUACCUCAGGCAGUGGGACACCCGGUAUUACUUGGUAGCAUGUUUAAAGGAGACUUUCUACACCUCCAUAUUAUGGAGCAUCCGCAUAUGCAACCACCAACACAAUCAUAAAUUCAAAAAAUAAAUGACAGAAAGUAUGCUGUGACUCUUCCCACAUGAUUAAAACCCGGUUCGGAUAAAACCUACAGAACACCUCAUGAAAAAGAUUCUCCAAAUCAUGUGAUAUAAGUUCCUAGCAGCAGAAUGACAGACUACUGCUUCAAUAAAUCACGGUCUAUAGGGUCAAAUUUCCAGCCAAGAAUAACAACUGUUCGGGAGAAACUCCCUCUAAAUUUGAAUUAUUUCACCAAAAAAAUUUGCCGGGCUAAAGAGUAAGAGCUCGAUCAUUUUCAUCAACGUCAAUAUCUAAACAGCACAUUGGAGAUUGUGUUUGUGCUUAGGCACCACCAGAUCCAUACUUCUUCCCGAAUACGAUCAGCUGCAACUUAUCAUAGCCUGCAAGCACACCAGCACCAGCAACGGCACGGAGGAUGUUUGCACCAGCACCCUUGAAGAGAGACUUGGCACCCUCAUUCUUCAGAAUUUGGGAGAAAGCAUCCAGGGAACUCUUGUACUUGACAGCUUCACCAGAGGUCAUCAUCAUUCUUCUGCGAACAGUGUCAAUUGGAUAGGAUGCAAGCCCAGCACCAUUUGUGAUGAGCCAGCCAAGAGCAAAGCUAGCAAAGAAACUAUCCUGAAAUGAUUAAACAACAGAUGUCAUAAGGGGGAAAUAACAGCAAAGCUCAUGUGAUAAAUUAAUCUCGAUUUCAAAUCCUGAUAGCAAAGCUCAAAAAAGCAAUUAUCAUCUCCUACUUUAUUCCUCAAAAACUAUUCAGCAAUUCAUUAUGGCAAAAUAGGAGUUCCUAAUUCACUAUAUCAGCUGAGACGUGAAAUCAGAAAAUCGCAUGUCUCUCAAGAAAUCCUUACC